GACGAAGGAUGCAAGCGUUAUCCGGAUUCAUUGGGUUUAAAGGGUGCGUAGGCGGACUGAUAAGUCAGUGGUGAAAUCUCUCAGCUUAACUGAGAAACUGCCAUUGAUACUGUUAGUCUAGAGUAAAGAUGACGUUGGCGGAAUAUGACAUGUAGUGGUGAAAUACUUAGAUAUGUCAUAGAACACCGAUUGCGAAGGCAGCUAACGAAACUAUAACUGACGCUGAGGCACGAAAGUGCGGGGAUCAAACAGG
rnacentral:rRNA from 1 species